GGGUUGUGAGGUUAAGCGACUAAGCGUACACGGUGGAUGCCCUGGCAGUCAGAGGCGAUGAAGGGCGUGCUAAUCUGCGAUAAGCGCCGGUAAGGUGAUAUGAACCGUUAUAACCGGCGAUACCCGAAUGGGGAAACCCAGUGUGAUUCGUCACACUAUCAUUAACUGAAUCCAUAGGUUAAUGAGGCGAACCGGGGGAACUGAAACAUCUAAGUACCCCGAGGAAAAGAAAUCAACCGAGAUUCCCCCAGUAGCGGCGAGCGAACGGGGAGGAGCCCAGAGCCUGAAUCAGCAUGUGUGUUAGUGGAAGCGUCUGGAAAGGUGCGCGAUACAGGGUGACAGCCCCGUACACAAAAGCGCAUGUGCUGUGAGCUCGAUGAGUAGGGCGGGACACGUGAUAUCCUGUCUGAAUAUGGGGGGACCAUCCUCCAAGGCUAAAUACUCCUGACUGACCGAUAGUGAACCAGUACCGUGAGGGAAAGGCGAAAAGAACCCCGGCGAGGGGAGUGAAAAAGAACCUGAAACCGUGUACGUACAAGCAGUGGGAGCACAGGUUUACCUGUGUGACUGCGUACCUUUUGUAUAAUGGGUCAGCGACUUAUAUUCUGUAGCAAGGUUAACCGUAUAGGGGAGCCG
rnacentral:rRNA from 3 species